rnacentral:sRNA from 1 species
GCGUGAAAUUGAUAUUUUUGGCCUUAA